rnacentral:lncRNA from 1 species
UUUUUUUUCAAAUGUGAUGAACCUUAUUUGGUAAUAUGUGAACAUGUUUGCAAAUAAUUAGAAAAUAAAACACUACAGUGUAAUGAGUAGUAAAUUGCGCGUCUAGUUUCCAUUCUUUAAAAACAUUGCGCUGUGAUUAUUCACAAGCAGGAGGCUGGUCUAGUGGUUAGCCUUUCUUCUCUUCGGCGGCGCUGAAGGCACGCAAUAGGAGCUCCCGAAAAAUCGUGACCGGGCGGACCGCCCGGGUGUUUGAGGCCGGUUUGGGGCGACCGGCUGUAAAUCUAAUCCUGGCGAGCAGGGAAGGCCUGGCAUGCUCUAACGUACGCUCGUUGCGGCUGCUUCCACAACACCCAGGAUGUAAGCAGAGCACAAAAGAUUCAGAUCCACAGACGUUACUGCUUCCAAAACAUCCAUCCAUAGCUGACAAUUGGCUCAAGAGCAAAAGAAGAUAAAAGAAAGCAUACUCUGUUCAGUGUUCACAUCUUUUCCAGAAAGGGAGGUACUAUACAUCAGUAAUAAUUUCGAUUAACCAGUGCACCGAGCAACUCUUAACUAGUGCCACAACAUACCCAAAGAAGCACAAACGACAUUUCAUACUGUACACACAGACCCGGUUUUUGUACAAACAUUUCAUAUCGACUUGUAUAAGCAAAAACAAUCUACCCGAGAACUCAACUUUGAAUCUGUUGACCAAAACAUAAGGCUUUCGCUCUGGAAGCUGAGCCGAACUUGGAACAUCAUGUAUGGUGUCGAGCU